rnacentral:tRNA from 1 species
GGGGAUGUGGCUCAGUAGUGGAGUGCUUGCCUAGCAUGCAUGAAGCUCUGGCUUCAAUCCCCAGCAUCACAA